rnacentral:rRNA from 1 species
GAUGAAUGCUGGCGGCGUGCCUAACACAUGCAAGUCGAGCGGCAGCGCAGUCUUCGGGCUGGCGGCGAGCGGCGGACGGCUGAGUAACGCGUGGGAACGUACCCCAAAGUGAGGAAUAACCGCCCGAAAGGGUGGCUAAUGCCGCAUAUGAUCUUCGGAUUAAAGGAUUUAUCCGCUUUGGGAACGGCCUGCGUACGAUUAGAUAGUUGGUGAGGUAAAGGCUCACCAAGUCGACGAUCGUUAACUGGUCUGAGAGGAUGAUCAGUCAGACUGGAACUGAGAUACGGUCCAGACUCCUACGGGAGGCAGCAGUGAGGAAUCUUCCACAAUGGGCGAAAGCCUGAUGGAGCAACGCCGCGUGCAGGAUGAAGGCCUUCGGGUCGUAAACUGCUUUUAUAAGUGAAGAAUAUGACGGUAACUUAUGAAUAAGCACCGGCUAACUACGUGCCAGCAGCCGCGGUCAUACGUAGGGUGCAAGCAUUAUCCGGAGUGACUGGGCGUAAAGAGUUGCGUAGGUGGUUUGUUAAGUGAAUAGUGAAACCUGGUGGCUCAACCACACAGACUAUUAUUCAAACUGGCAAACUCGAGAGUAGCAGAGGUAACUGGAAUUUCUAGUGUAGGAGUGAAAUCCGUAGAUAUUAGAAGGAACACCAAUGGCGUAGGCAGGUUACUAGGCUAUUUCUGACACUGAGGCACGAAAGCGUGGGGAGCGAACCGGAUUAGAUACCCGGGUAGUCCACGCCGUAAACGAUGGAUACUAGCUGUUGGAGGUAUCGACCCCUUCAGUAGCGAAGCUAACGCGUUAAGUAUCCCGCCUGUGGAGUACGGUCGCAAGACUAAAACAUAAAGGAAUUGACGAGG